GUAGGWGAACCUGCGGAAGGAUCAUUGUCGAUACCUGAACAACAGAGAGACCCGCGAACGUGUUGCYURCUGUAUCGAAAGAUCGGGGGCKAAGGUCGUGGGGGUCCCCUCCGCACCCUAGACCCCGAAACACAACCACCGGCGCGGUCCGCGCCAAGGAACUCACAACGGAAUAUCGACGUGCCGUCGCCGUGCCCACGGUGCGGGGCGGUUCGUCAGGAAUCCGAAUCUCAUGAACGACUCUCGGCAACGGAUAUCUCGGCUCUCGCAUCGAUGAAGAACGUAGCGAAAUGCGAUACUUGGUGUGAAUUGCAGAAUCCCGUGAACCAUCGAGUCUUUGAACGCAAGUUGCGCCCCAGGCCUUCGGGCCGAGGGCACGCCUGCCUGGGCGUCACGUAUCGUGUCGCCCGCCCUCCCUUCGCCCCCUCGGGGACCAUAGGGGAGUGCGGGUCGGAGAUUGGCCCCCCGUGCCGCCUUCGCGGAGGUGCGGUCGGCCCAAAGGCAAGUCCCCCCGUGCGGCGAUCGUCACGACGAGUGGUGGUCAAAGCCACUGUGCCAUUCGAUUCGGACGUCGUGUGCGGCCUUCGCCCGCGUCGGGUAGGGGAAAGCGACCCUGAUCGAGUGCCYCGUGCACUCCGACCGCGACCCCAGGUCAGGCGGGGCUACCCGCUGAG
rnacentral:rRNA from 1 species